rnacentral:rRNA from 1 species
GAGCUUGCUCCUGUGAUUAGUGGCGAACGGGUGAGUAACACGUGAGUAACCUGCCCCUGACUCUGGGAUAAGCGUUGGAAACGACGUCUAAUACUGGAUAUGAUCACUGGCCGCAUGGUCUGGUGGUGGAAAGAUUUUUUGGUUGGGGAUGGACUCGCGGCCUAUCAGCUUGUUGGUGAGGUAAUGGCUCACCAAGGCGACGACGGGUAGCCGGCCUGAGAGGGUGACCGGCCACACUGGGACUGAGACACGGCCCAGACUCCUACGGGAGGCAGCAGUGGGGAAUAUUGCACAAUGGGCGAAAGCCUGAUGCAGCAACGCCGCGUGAGGGAUGACGGCCUUCGGGUUGUAAACCUCUUUUAGUAGGGAAGAAGCGAAAGUGACGGUACCUGCAGAAAAAGCACCGGCUAACUACGUGCCAGCAGCCGCGGUAAUACGUAGGGUGCAAGCGUUGUCCGGAAUUAUUGGGCGUAAAGAGCUCGUAGGCGGUUUGUCGCGUCUGCUGUGAAAUCCCGAGGCUCAACCUCGGGCUUGCAGUGGGUACGGGCAGACUAGAGUGCGGUAGGGGGAGAUUGGAAUUCCUGGUGGAGCGGUGGAAUGCGCAGAUAUCAGGAGGAACACCGAUGGCGAAGGCAGAUCUCUGGGCCGUAACUGACGCUGAGGAGCGAAAGCGUGGGGAGCGAACAGGAUUAGAUACCCUGGUAGUCCACGCCGUAAACGUUGGGCGCUAGAUGUAGGGACCUUUCCACGGUUUCUGUGUCGUAGCUAACGCAUUAAGCGCCCCGCCUGGGGGAGUACGGCCGCAAGGCUAAAACUCAAGGGAAAUUGACGGGGGCCCGCACAAGCGGCGGAGCAUGCGGAUUAAUUCGAUGCAAC